GGGGUAAAUCCCUCGAAAGUUUAGCUAUUGAAUUUUCCCCAAAUUUCGCACAUUUCCCUCCCUCCCUUUUUUUAUUUCCCUCCAAAAAAUAAGAACUAGUAUUCUCAAUUAUGUAUUCAGUAUUCCCCAAAUUUGAACCAGUAUUCUUCAUCUCCCAAAUUUAUACUCUCUAGCUCUCAUUCCCUGUUCGGUUUUUCCCUCUCGGUGCUGGCAUAUUAGUGGCAUCUAUCCUUCUCCCUUUAUCUCUUCAGUUCUGUAAAAAAAAUUCACAGAGAUGGAAGUAGAAGGAGAACAGAUCGGGAUUCUUGCUAAUAUCAAUGAAAAUGAAACUGAACCAGAAAGUCCUAUUCUUCCCAAAAGACGGAGUCCAUAUUGGGAUGAGUUUCUUGCAAUCGACCCAAGCGUGAGUAAAGAUGGAAAAUUUCAUGCAAUAUGUAAGCAUUGUAAACUUGCAUCAUUCAUAGCAACUUCACACUAUGGAACAUCUAACAUGAAAAAACAUCUUGAUAAAUGCUCUAACUAUGCUGCACAUCUAGUGAGUGUGAAGAAUGAUGGACAUCAACCUGUGUUCGAUCAAAAAGUCUACAGGGAGUUGGUUUCCAAAACAAUCAUAAAACAAGGGUAUUCUUUUUCUUGGGUAGAACAUGAAGGAAAUAGAGAUAUCCAUACUUAUUUAAACAAUCAAGUUAGAAAAGUUUGUAGGAACACCAUAAAAUCUGAUUGUUUAAAGUUGCAUGCAACCUUAAAAGCUCGAUUGAAGGAUGUCCUUCACAAGGUCUCUGGUCGUAUUUCCUUAACUUGUGAUAUGUGGACCUCUUGUCAAACCGAGAGUUAUCUGUGUUUGACUGCUCGCUAUAUGGAUAUUGGAAAUUAAAUUGCAGGGUCCUAAAUUUUUAUCACAUGGAUUCCCCCCAUACAGGUUCUGCCAUGUAUAGUAUUUGUUAGACUUACUUUAUGAUUGGGGUAUUCGUGAUAAAAUUUUCUCUUUUACAUUGGAUAAUGCUUCUAGUAAUGACAAAAUGCAAGACUACAUGAGAGAAACACUUAGGAAAGAAGGAGCUUUGUUGUAUCAAGGUGCUUACUUUCAUGUCCGAUGUGCGACUCAUGUGUUGAACCUUAUUGUCAAGGAUGGACUAAAAGUGAUUGAUCCUAUUAUCUAUAAAGUUAGAGAAAGUGUAAAAUAUGUAAAAUGGUCGAAAAUACCAAAAAAGACUUUCCGUCGUUGUUUGAAAAAAGUUCAGAUACAAGAGACAAAAGCAUUAUGGCUUGAUGUUCCUACUAGGUGGAAUUCUACUUAUAUGAUGCUUGAUAGAGCUAUAUUGUAUCGUGCUGCUUUUGAGCAAAUGCAAAAGGUUGAUAGUUGUGGCUCUUAUUGUACUUGUCCAGAACUUGAAGAGUGGGAGAAUCUUGAGCAGAUUAGGAAUAUUUUAGAGCCAUUCUCUCAUAUAACUGAGUUGUUUUUUGGUAGUAAUUAUCCCACCUCAAAUCUGUACUUUGAAAAUGUGUGGAAGAUUGCUAUGCUUUUGAAGGAUUUGGUGUGAAGCGAUGAUCUUUCUAUAAUACUAAUGGCUUUUGAGAUGAAGCAAAAAAUUGACAAGUAUUGGCUUAACUCGACCGAGGAUGAUUAUGGGACUUUAUUUGCUUUUGCAAUGAUUCUUGAUCCCCGUUGUUAGUUACAAGUUCUCAAGUUUUGUUAUAAAAAGUUGUAUGGUGAUGAACAACGCGCUAUGACAAAGAUAAAUGAUGUUAGACUCAAGUUGGAGUUAUUUUUUGAAGAGUAUACUCAAGAGAGUAAUAUUUCAAGUGCAACACGAAUACCUACGACAUCAACUACAAAUAAGAAGCGCCCAUUCGAUUAUAUCGAUGAAUAUGAAGAGGAAAGAUGCUAUCAAUUCAUUUUGCACAAUUACUUGGAAGAUGAGAAAUUGGAUCGAAAAAUGCAACUUGACAUAUUGAGUUUUUGGAAAGAAAAUGAGCAUCGGUAUGGAAAGCUUUCACAUUUAGCUAGGGAUAUUUUAACCGUGCCCCUUACAACCGUAGCUUCAGAAUCAACUUUUAGUGUAGGGGGGGGGGGGAGUUUUAAAUAAAUGGAGAAGCUCUUAUCUUCCUGAAAAACGUAGAGGCCUUGAUAACUAGUCGGAGUUGGUUGUACGGCUUCCAAGCUGAUGAAGAAAGUGAGUAUGUUGGAUGUGAUGUGGAUUGGACUUCGACGAAAUCAGUGGCUCGGUAAUCCAGCUAGUUUUAGUGAAGAUUCAUGAAUCAUAAUGAAGACUUGUUUUUACUUUUGUUUUCCGUUUAUUAAUUCAAGUGCUUGUAUUAGUUACAUUGCCUUGGAGACAUUUGUUCUUGUAGGUACCUUAAUAUUGUAGGUACGUUAUUGUGGAGAUGGUUAUCUUACAAAAAAAGUGCAUUCAAUACUCUUGUUUAUCUAGCUUCUAUAGUCGCAGUGCUUUGAAUACAAAAAUGUCAUGAAGCUUUUAAUCACUGGUUCCAUGCAGUGGGCUUCAAUUUGA